UUGCCUCAGUAACGGCGAGUGAAGCGGCAACAGCUCAAAUUUGAAAUCUGGCUUCGGUCCGAGUUGUAAUUUGUAGAGGAUGCUUCGGCUUACGUACCGGUCUAAGUUCCUUGGAACAGGACGUCACAGAGGGUGAGAAUCCCGUUUGUGGCCGGCACUUCCGCCAUGUGAAGCUCCUUCGACGAGUCGAGUUGUUUGGGAAUGCAGCUCUAAAUGGGAGGUAAAUUUCUUCUAAAGCUAAAUACCGGCCAGAGACCGAUAGCGCACAAGUAGAGUGAUCGAAAGAUGAAAAGCACUUUGGAAAGAGAGUUAAAAAGUACGUGAAAUUGUUGAAAGGGAAGCGCUUGCGACCAGACUUGCCCGCGGAUGCUCAACCGGUCCUUCGGCCGGUGCACUCUUCCGCGGUCAGGCCAGCAUCAGUUCGGGCGGUCGGAUAAAGGCCUUGGGAAUGUGGCUCUCUUCGGGGAGUGUUAUAGCCCUUGGUGCAAUACGGCCCGCCUGGACUGAGGCCCGCGCUUCGGCUAGGAUGCUGGCGUAAUGGUCGUAAGCGGCCCGUCUUGAAACACGGACCAAGGAGUCUAACAUCUAUGCGAGUGUUUGGGUGUCAAACCCGUGCGCGAAAUGAAAGUGAACGGAGGUGGGAACCUUAGGGUGCACCAUCGACCGAUCCUGAUGUCUUCGGAUGGAUUUGAGUAAGAGCAUAGCUGUUGGGACCCGAAAGAUGGUGAACUAUGCCUGAAUAGGGUGAAGCCAGAGGAAACUCUGGUGGAGGCUCGCAGCGGUUCUGACGUGCAAAUCGAUCGUCAAAUUUGGGUAUAGGGGCGAAAGACUAAUCGA
rnacentral:rRNA from 1 species